rnacentral:rRNA from 1 species
GGGCCCGCACAAGCGGUGGAGCAUGUGGUUUAAUUCGAAGCAACGCGAAGAACCUUACCAGGUCUUGACAUCCUUUGACCACCCUAGAGAUAGGGCUUUCCCUUCGGGGACAAGGUGACAGGUGGUGCAUGGUUGUCGUCAGCUCGUGUCGUGAGAUGUUGGGUUAAGUCCCGCAACGAGCGCAACCCUUAUUACUAGUUGCCAGCAUUAAGUUGGGCACUCUAGUGAGACUGCCGGUGACAAACCGGAGGAAGGUGGGGAUGACGUCAAAUCAUCAUGCCCCUUAUGACCUGGGCUACACACGUGCUACAAUGGAUGGUACAACGAGUCGCAAAGUCGCGAGGCUAAGCUAAUCUCUUAAAGCCAUUCUCAGUUCGGAUUGUAGUCUGCAACUCGACUACAUGAAGUCGGAAUCGCUAGUAAUCGCGGAUCAGCACGCCG